AUUGAACGCUGGCGGCAGGCCUAACACAUGCAAGUCGAACGAGUGGCGGACGGGUGAGUAAUGUCUGGGAAACUGCCUGAUGGAGGGGGAUAACUACUGGAAACGGUAGCUAAUACCGCAUACCAUCGGAUUUGCCCAGAUGGGAUUAGCUAGUAGGUGGGGUAACGGCUCACCUAGGCUACGAUCCCUAGCUGGUCUGAGAGGAUGACCAGGCCCACUGGAAAUGAGACACGGUCCAGACGCCGACGGGAGGCAGCAGUGGGGACUAUUGCACAAUGGGCGCAAGCCUGAUGCAGCCAUGCCGCGUGUAUGAAGAAGGCCUUCGGGGUGUAAAGUACUUGCAGCGGGGAGGCGUUACCCGCAGAAGAAGCACCGGCUAACUCCGUGCCAGCAGCCGCGGUAAUUC
rnacentral:rRNA from 1 species